GGUUAAGCGACUAAGCGUACACGGUGGAUGCCCUGGCAGUCAGAGGCGAUGAAGGACGUGCUAAUCUGCGAAAAGCGUCGGUAAGGUGAUAUGAACCGUUACAGCCGGCGAUGUCCGAAUGGGGAAACCCAGUGCAAUUCGUUGCACUAUCGUUAACUGAAUACAUAGGUUAACGAGGCGAACCGGGGGAACUGAAACAUCUAAGUACCCCGAGGAAAAGAAAUCAACCGAGAUUCCCCCAGUAGCGGCGAGCGAACGGGGAGCAGCCCAGAGUCUGAAUCAGCUUGUGUGUUAGUGGAACGGUCUGGAAAGUCCGACGGUACAGGGUGAUAGUCCCGUACACCAAAAUGCACAGGUUGUGAACUCGAAGAGUAGGGCGGGACACGUGGUAUCCUGUCUGAAUAUGGGGGGACCAUCCUCCAAGGCUAAAUACUCCUGACUGACCGAUAGUGAACCAGUACCGUGAGGGAAAGGCGAAAAGAACCCCGGCGAGGGGAGUGAAAAAGAACCUGAAACCGUGUACGUACAAGCAGUGGGAGCACCUUCGGGUGUGACUGCGUACCUUUUGUAUAAUGGGUCAGCGACUUAUAUUCUGUAGCAAGGUUAACCGUAUAGGGGAGCCGCAGGGAAACCGAGUCUUAACUGGGCGUUAAGUUGCAGGGUAUAGACCCGAAACCCGGUGAUCUAGCCAUGGGCAGGUUGAAGGUUGGGUAACACUAACUGGAGGACCGAACCGACUAAUGUUGAAAAAUUAGCGGAUGACUUGUGGCUGGGGGUGAAAGGCCAAUCAAACCGGGAGAUAGCUGGUUCUCCCCGAAAGCUAUUUAGGUAGCGCCUCGUGAACUCAUCUUCGGGGGUAGAGCACUGUUUCGGCUAGGGGGUCAUCCCGACUUACCAACCCGAUGCAAACUACGAAUACCGAAGAAUGUUAUCACGGGAGACACACGGCGGGUGCUAACGUCCGUCGUGAAGAGGGAAACAACCCAGACCGCCAGCUAAGGUCCCAAAGUCAUGGUUAAGUGGGAAACGAUGUGGGAAGGCACAGACAGCCAGGAUGUUGGCUUAGAAGCAGCCAUCAUUUAAAGAAAGCGUAAUAGCUCACUGGUCGAGUCGGCCUGCGCGGAAGAUGUAACGGGGCUAAACCAUGCACCGAAGCUGCGGCAGCGACACUAUGUGUUGUUGGGUAGGGGAGCGUUCUGUAAGCCUGCGAAGGUGACCUGUGAGGGUUGCUGGAGGUAUCAGAAGUGCGAAUGCUGACAUAAGUAACGAUAAAGCGGGUGAAAAGCCCGCUCGCCGGAAGACCAAGGGUUCCUGUCCAACGUUAAUCGGGGCAGGGUGAGUCGACCCCUAAGGCGAGGCCGAAAGGCGUAGUCGAUGGGAAACAGGUUAAUAUUCCUGUACUUGGUGUUACUGCGAAGGGGGGACGGAGAAGGCUAUGUUAGCCGGGCGACGGUUGUCCCGGUUUAAGCAUGUAGGCUGAUUGUCCAGGCAAAUCCGGAUAAUCAAGGCUGAGGUGUGAUGACGAGGUACUACGGUGCUGAAGUAACAAAUGCCCUGCUUCCAGGAAAAGCCUCUAAGCAUCAGGUAACAUCAAAUCGUACCCCAAACCGACACAGGUGGUCAGGUAGAGAAUACCAAGGCGCUUGAGAGAACUCGGGUGAAGGAACUAGGCAAAAUGGUGCCGUAACUUCGGGAGAAGGCACGCUGGUGUGUAGGUGAAGCCCCUGCGGGUGGAGCUGAGACCAGUCGAAGAUACCAGCUGGCUGCAACUGUUUAUUAAAAACACAGCACUGUGCAAACACGAAAGUGGACGUAUACGGUGUGACGCCUGCCCGGUGCCGGAAGGUUAAUUGAUGGGGUUAUCCGUAAGGAGAAGCUCUUGAUCGAAGCCCCGGUAAACGGCGGCCGUAACUAUAACGGUCCUAAGGUAGCGAAAUUCCUUGUCGGGUAAGUUCCGACCUGCACGAAUGGCGUAAUGAUGGCCAGGCUGUCUCCACCCGAGACUCAGUGAAAUUGAACUCGCUGUGAAGAUGCAGUGUACCCGCGGCAAGACGGAAAGACCCCGUGAACCUUUACUAUAGCUUGACACUGAACAUUGAGCCUUGAUGUGUAGGAUAGGUGGGAGGCUUUGAAGCGUGGACGCCAGUCUGCGUGGAGCCAACCUUGAAAUACCACCCUUUAAUGUUUGAUGUUCUAACGUUGGCCCCUGACCGGGGUUGCGGACAGUGUCUGGUGGGUAGUUUGACUGGGGCGGUCUCCUCCCAAAGCGUAACGGAGGAGCACGAAGGUUAGCUAAUCCUGGUCGGACAUCAGGAGGUUAGUGCAAUGGCAUAAGCUAGCUUGACUGCGAGCGUGACGGCGCGAGCAGGUGCGAAAGCAGGUCAUAGUGAUCCGGUGGUUCUGAAUGGAAGGGCCAUCGCUCAACGGAUAAAAGGUACUCCGGGGAUAACAGGCUGAUACCGCCCAAGAGUUCAUAUCGACGGCGGUGUUUGGCACCUCGAUGUCGGCUCAUCACAUCCUGGGGCUGAAGUAGGUCCCAAGGGUAUGGCUGUUCGCCAUUUAAAGUGGUACGCGAGCUGGGUUUAGAACGUCGUGAGACAGUUCGGUCCCUAUCUGCCGUGGGCGCUGGAGAAUUGAGGGGGGCUGCUCCUAGUACGAGAGGACCGGAGUGGACGCAUCACUGGUGUUCGGGUUGUCAUGCCAAUGGCACUGCCCGGUAGCUAAAUGCGGAAGAGAUAAGUGCUGAAAGCAUCUAAGCACGAAACUUGCCCCGAGAUGAGUUCUCCCUGAGACUUUAAGUCUCCUGAAGGAACGUUAAAGACGAUGACGUUGAUAGGCCGGGUGUGUAAGCGCAGCGAUGCGUUGAGCUAACCGGUACUAAUGAACCGUGAGGCUUAACCUU
rnacentral:rRNA from 1 species